ACGGGUGAGUAACGCGUGGGUAACCUGCCUUAUACAGGGGGAUAACAGUUGGAAACGACUGCUAAUACCGCAUAAGCGCACAGUGCUGCAUGGCAUCGUGUGAAAAGAUUUAUCGGUAUAAGAUGGACCCGCGUCUGAUUAGCUAGUUGGUGAGGUAAUGGCUCACCAAGGCGACGAUCAGUAGCCGGCUUGAGAGAGUGAACGGCCACAUUGGGACUGAGACACGGCCCAAACUCCUACGGGAGGCAGCAGUGGGGAAUAUUGCACAAUGGGGGAAACCCUGAUGCAGCGACGCCGCGUGAGUGAAGAAGUAUUUCGGUAUGUAAAGCUCUAUCAGCAGGGACGAAGAAAUGACGGUACCUGACUAAGAAGCCCCGGCUAACUACGUGCCAGCAGCCGCGGUAAUACGUAGGGGGCAAGCGUUAUCCGGAUUUACUGGGUGUAAAGGGAGCGUAGACGGUGAUGUAAGUCAGAUGUGAAAGCCCAGGGCUCAACCCUGGGACUGCAUUUGAAACUAUGUGACUAGAGUGCAGGAGAGGUAAGUGGAAUUCCUAGUGUAGCGGUGAAAUG
rnacentral:rRNA from 1 species